rnacentral:rRNA from 1 species
CUACAAAGCUUGACUUGGAAAUUAAGCCAUGCAUGUCUAAGUAUAAGUUACACAAAGCGAAACUGCGAAUGGCUCAUUACAACAGUUGUAAUUUAUUUGAUGAUUUUCUUACAUGGAUAACCGUGGGAAACUAGGGCUAAUACAUGCAAAAGGCCUUCGGGCUGUAUUUAUUAGUUUCAAACUUAUGCGGCGCAAGUCGCUUAGUGAGGAAUCAAGAUAACUGAUCGAAGCCAAUCUAUUGGCUAAAUCAUUCGAGCUUCUGACCUAUCAGCUUGUUGUUAGUGUAUUGGACUAACAAGGCGGUAACAGGUAACGGAGAAUUGGGGUUCGAUUCCGGAGAGUCAGCCUGAGAAACGGCUGACAUUUCCACGGAAGGCAGCAGGCGUGAAAAUUACCCAAUCACAAUUCGUGGAGGUAGUUAAUAGACAUAACAGUCCCGGCCUUUUAGGUUUGGGAAUGUAAUGAACUCAGUCUAGACAGCUGGGUGAAACCCAUUGGAGGGCAAGUCUGGUGCCAGCAGCCGCGGUAAUUCCAGCUCCAAUAGCUUUGUUGAAAGUUGCUGCAGUUAAAAAGCUCGUAGUUGAAUGUCCGGCGUCUCUGACGUCUGCCCGAAUCGACUUUAGAUGCCGAAAGGUUUUUACUGCUCGAUCUGGCGUUUACUGUGAACAAAUUAGCGUGCUCAAGACAGGCUUUUGCUUGAAUUUUCUAGCGUGGAAUAAUGAAAUACGACUUCGCUCAUUUUAUUGGUUAUUGGACGAAGUAAUGGUUAACAGGAACAGUUGGGGGCAUUCGUACUUAAGAGUCAGAGGUGAAAUUCUUAGAUUUCUUAAAGACGAACUAAUGCGAAGGCAUUUGCCAAGGAUGUUUUCAUUAAUCAGGAACGAAAGCGUUGGGAUCAAAAAGGAUCAGAUACCCUUGUAGUCAACGCCGUAAACGAUACUGACUAGGGAUUGGUGAGGCUAACCCUCAUCAGCACCUAAUGAGAAAUCAAAGUCUUUGAGUUCUGGGGAGAGUAUGGUCGCAAGGCUGAAACUUAAAGGAAUUGACGGAAAGAUACACAAGUCGUGGAUUCUGCGGCUUAAUUUGAUUUAACACGGGAAAACUUACGCAGGCAAAAAGCUAAAAGGAUUGACAGCUUGAUAGCACUUUCUUGAUAUGGCAGCGAGUGGUGCAUGGCCGUUCUUAGUUGGUGGAGCGAUUUGUCAGGUUCAUUCCCUUAACGAACGAGAUCUUCACUUGCUAACUAGUCGCUGUUAAAACCUAGCAGUUGACUUCUUAGAAGGACUACGGUCGCAAGCCCGUGGAGGUUGGAGGCAAUAACAGGUCCGUGAUGCCCUCAGAUGUUUGCGGCCGCACGCGUAAUACCAUGAUUGGCACAAUAAGUUUACCUAAUCCGAGAGGAGCUGGGAAAUCUUGAUAAUGCCAAUCGUGCUUGGGAUAGAACCUUGCAAUUGUGGUUCUUGAACGAGGAAUGACUAGUAAGCUGAAGUCACUAACCUCAGCUGAUUACUGUCCCUAUCUUUUGUACACACCGCCCGCCGCUCCCAUCGAUUGAGUGUGCCGACGAGUUCUCCGGAUCGUGUCCUUUGGAUUGCGAGAAGUUGUGCAAGUUGAUACACUUAGAGAAGGGAUAAGGCGUAACAAGGUUCUGUAGGUGAACCUGCAGAAGGAUCA